CUGUGAGAUUACAUAUGCAUAUAGUGUUAAUGUUAUAAGAGUGUAGUAUCUACUCACAAAGUUAUCAGGUUAAAUAGUUUUAUCAACUAAUAAAAAUGUUAUUGCAUAACUAAUGUUAUAUACUGUAGCCCUGCCACGAUAUCCAGCGAGAAUUAUUUUGCUGAGUAUCGUAGUAAAAGUUAAGAUAUGAUGUUGAGAAUUUUUUUGAGUCGUGCAACAAUAUUAACAGCAAACUAUAAUACAAAUCUAUCUUUUUAAAAGUUUGUAUUGCU
rnacentral:misc_RNA from 2 species